rnacentral:rRNA from 1 species
UACGAGGGGGGCGAGCGUUAUUCGGAAUCACUGGGCGUAAAGCGUGCGUAGGCGGUUAUGAAAGUUAGGUGUGAAAGCCCAGGGCUUAACCCUGGAAUUGCACUUAAAACUACAUGACUAGAAUUCGGGAGAGGAUAGCGGAAUUUCCAGUGUAGCAGUGAAAUGCGUAGAUAUUGGAGGGAACACCAGUGGCGUAAGCGGCUAUCUGGACCGACAUUGACGCUGAGGCACGAAAGCGUGGGGAUCAAACAGGAUUAGAUACCCUUGUAGU